rnacentral:lncRNA from 1 species
UUUCUCCGUCAUGCCAACUCCCGCAGACAAUGGCUGCUUUGUCCAGAAGAGAUGAUGAUUUAGAUGACAACCUGGCUUAAACCUCAGAAACCUUCAAUCUCUCCUUCUUCAAACAGUUUUUAUUAGAAGGAUGGCUGUGAAAAAUGAAGCCCUUAUGCACAAAGCCACCGCGUUUCACUGCGAUGUUCACCUGGCCUAUGAAGAUCUCCGGACACAAAACCAGGCAACAAAAUCAGGAUGCAACAAGAUGGAGGGGCAAAGCACAGAAGCGGAGUGGGCCCUGCCGUAGGUGAGGGUUGCCAUCCUCUUACACCUGCCGCUUCAUGCUUGAGCUCAGAAGAGCUGCAAGCUCAGGAACAAAACGGCCACAUCAUGCACAGAAGACAGUGCCCCAUGACAGAUACUCCAUUUCUUACUCAGACACCCACUCUGAGAAAACAGUUGACUUUCACUGGCCAUGAGAACCAUCUGGAUUCUGGUGAUAACUGGAUCCUCCUGUUCCCAAGGCUACCCAUCAAGUAGCCCUCCAGAUCUACAGAUUGGAUUCAAAUGAGCUAAUGGAUUGCUCCUUGCAUGUGCUCAGGAGCUCACACUGCUACUGUUUCUCACAUAUCACUUGCUUGAUGGCCUAUGGGUAUCCUCAAAGCUCCUUGCUUCCUCUGGGAUCCACACUUCCUCAUGCGAAUCCAUGGAAAUAAGAAGAUAUACCUUCAUCUUCCCAAAAGAUCGGUUGGGACAGAGGUUCAUCUUGCUCCUGGGCCACUGCCACUGUUCAAGACUUGUUUGGUCAGAAGACUGCACUGGACCCUGCUUCUUCAGAAUGCUCUAAACCAAGGAGUAGCAAUAGCUUUCAAAUGCUUGAGUACCCUAAGUCUAGAGAACUCAAGUCAGUUUUUAUAGACAGUUCUCUCCCCGUAGUUUGGUCUGGCUCGUUACACUUGUAACGAAGACAUCAUACAUACACUCCCUUCUUGCAGGUACUUCUGUCUCUGUACACAGCUUUCUCAGUGAAAAGCGGAGGAAUUAAGUUUAAAAUAUAAUAUACAUAUGCAUAAAAACAUAACAAGGAAAGCCAUCAUUUUGUACAACUGAAUAAAUUAAUGAUCAUGUAGUUAAGAAAAGCAGAACUUCCUAAGUCCUUCUGCAACACAUUUGACCCCAGAUCAGGAAAUCUUAAGGAAAUGAACUUGAAUAUUGUUUCAUUUUCCUGGAACACAUUCCAUGUUUCAAAAGUCUUAGAAUAUGGACCAAAAUAAGGAUGGUUAUUUCCUUCUUAAUGAAGCUUUCAGAAAGAUAAUUUCCCAGAAAGUUUACAAAAAGAUGAAAAAGAACCACUCUUCCUUCCCAUGUUCCCCACCAGACUUGCCUUGGUUGUCUUGUGAGUUCUGUGGUCAUCUCCUAUUGUCUGGAAGCCACAGUAUCUCAGCUUUACAAAAGGAAACUCCAUGCACACCCUGUGUCACAAUACAGGAAGCUAGCCUCCUCCACCAAAGAGGAGCUUCAUCUGCCUUGACUUGUCAGCGCUUUGCAUGCUGGGAUUUAUGGAGAAUUGCUCAGGCCAUGCUAAGGAAUAUACAUGCAUAAUGGAGGCACUUCAUUAAUGGUUCAUGUGGGGGUGAAUUGUUUUACUAAUAUAAUUAGCUCAAUGAUACAGGUCCAGUAAGGAAGUGAAACCACAGAACUUCCCCACCCCCAAGAGAUGACCUAACAAAGUCAGUCAAUGUUGCAUAAUGUGAUUGUAUCAACUACCACAUAUAAGCACACCAUGCCCAGCAUGGUGGUACAUGCCUGUAAUCCCAGAUGAGACAGGUGGAGCAACCUGUGCAACAAACAUAGUGAAGCUGUGUUAAAACAUCAAAAUAAAAUACACUGGAUAAAUAAAGACCUUAUUAACCAUAAA